rnacentral:rRNA from 1 species
AUUGAACGCUGGCGGCAGGCUUAACACAUGCAAGUCGAGCGGAGAUGAGGUGCUUGCACCUUAUCUUAGCGGCGGACGGGUGAGUAAUGCUUAGGAAUCUGCCUAUUAGUGGGGGACAACAUUCCGAAAGGAAUGCUAAUACCGCAUACGUCCUACGGGAGAAAGCAGGGGAUCUUCGGACCUUGCGCUAAUAGAUGAGCCUAAGUCGGAUUAGCUAGUUGGUGGGGUAAAGGCCUACCAAGGCGACGAUCUGUAGCGGGUCUGAGAGGAUGAUCCGCCACACUGGGACUGGGACACGGCCCAGACUCCUCCGGGGGGCAGCAGUGGGGAAUAUUGGACAAUGGAGGGAACCCUGAUCCAGCCAUGCCGCGUGUGUGAAGAAGGCCUUAUGGUUGUAAAGCACUUUAAGCGAGGAGGAGGCUACUGAGACUAAUACUCUUGGAUAGUGGACGUUACUCGCAGAAUAAGCACCGGCUAACUCUGUGCCAGCAGCCGCAGUAAGAC